UCCCUGGUGGCUCAGAUGGUAAAGCAUCUGCCUACAAUGCAGGAGACCAGGUUCAAUCCCUGGAUUGGGAA
rnacentral:tRNA from 1 species